AUCUUUUACUCAUAUUGGAUGGAUCACUGACAAUGAAGGGAUGGAGGUGGAGGGAGUUGCCAUGAAGGAGGAGGGUGGGAUUACAGAGAUCGACAUGGAGGAGGACCGCAUCAAAGGUCUCAUAGGUAGGAUUCGAGGAGGAAGAGAAGGAGGAGUUAAGAGGAAGGGUAGAGGGAAAGAGAGAGAGCGCUCAUGGGGGGGCUUAG
rnacentral:lncRNA from 1 species